ensembl:lncRNA
GUAGUAGUGGUACGGGUAGUAGGGGUGAGUAGUGGUACGGGUAGUAGGGGUGAUGGUAGUAGGGGUGAUGGUAGUAGUGGGGUGAGUAGUAGUGGUACGGGUAGUAGGGGUGAGUAGUGGUACGGGUAGUAGGGGUAUGGGUAGUAGGGGUGAGUAGUGGUACGGGUAGUAGGGGUGAUGGUAGUAGGGGUGAUGGUAGUAGGGGUGAUGGUAGUAGGGGUGAUGGUAGUAGUGGUACGGGUAGUAGGGGUGAGUAGUGGUACGGGUAGUAGGGGUAUGGGUAGUAGGGGUGAGUAGUGGUACGGGUAGUAGGGGUGAUGGUAGUAGGGGUGAUGGUAGUAUUGGUACGGGUAGUAGGGGUGAUGGUAGUAGGGGUGAUGGUAGUAGGGGUACGGGUAGUAGGGGUGAUGGUAGUAGUGGUGAUGGUAGUAGGGGUACGGGUAGUAGGGGUGAUGAUAGUAGUGGUAUGGGUAGUAGGGGUGAUGGUAGUAGGGGUGAUGAUAGUAGGGGUAUG